GAUGAAGAACGUAGCAAAAUGCGAUAAGUAAUGUGAAUUGCAGAAUUCAGUGAAUCAUCGAAUCUUUGAACGCACAUUGCGCCCGCUGGUAUUCCGGCGGGCAUGCCUGUUCGAGCGUCAUUUCAACCCUCAAGCCCCCUUGGCUUGGUGUUGGACGGUUUUGGUGGGGACGUGCAGCCUCUCACCCCUCCUAAAGACAAUGACGGCGGCGUCGUUGGGACCCCCGGUACACUGAGCUUCUUAACUGAGCACGUACUGGACGCGGGUACGCGACGCACGGUCUGCCUCCCCUUUAAGGGAGAACUUUUUCUUAAGGUUGACCUCGGAUCAGGUAGGAAUACCCGCUGAACUUAAGCAUAUCAAUAAGCGGAGGA
rnacentral:misc_RNA from 1 species